UUUUCUCCUAUUCAUCAAUAGGAGAAAAGUUGCUGGGAAGAUGACUGGAGCUAAUCACUGGGCAGUCACGUUGGAGACGGCAGAAGACUUGAGCAUGAGGCAGAGGCUUGGUUUCCAGCAGGGCAGCAACCAUGGACAUACCCAGGACUCCACCGGAACGAUGAACAUCAAAGAAUCAAAGAAUUAGAAUUAUUCCACCAAUCUCAGAAUACUGCGCUGCCAAAGCAAAUUUGAAGAUGUAUGUUUUUCUUCCUCUAUUAUGUAGUACAGUACUUGGUCUACAAUAUAAAUGUCCAAUGGAGUACAUUAGAUUUAUAAGGAACUCUGCACAUUGCCAGCUUGUAAAGGGUUUUUCCUUUUUUUUUUUUACAUAAUAUUUCAAUGCCUGAUUAAUAGCAGGAUAUUACAGACAUGAAAUUUGCGAACUAUGACGUGAAGCAGCAAAUGUUACACGUUUUCAAGAUCCGAGUGCAUAGGCUACACAAAAAUAAAAAAAUAAAAUAAAAUAAAACGAAAGCUUCAAACCAAAACAUGCACUGAUCAUGAUAAUAAGAUAGUCUGCUAUUACAUAAUGCUUACACGGGUUAAUGAAUGAAUGACACUUGACCGAAAAGGAAUUACAAUGCAUUACUAAUUUUAUAGUGCAGCGUGGGACUCCGCAGCAGCGCCUGUAUCCUCUACGAGUGUGAUUUAUGAAGGUUUUUGGCUCACGUUCAGCACUCGGUUCAUCAGCAAAGCGCCUGCAGCUUGCUCAGAGUAAGACAGGAGCCCGUAACAUGAGCCGAUGACAGUCUCAGAGGCACUCAAAACUCAUUUCUCUCGCAGAUCAAAUCGUGAUGUCAGCAGAGACUGUUGUACUCGGAGGAUGAACCUUAUGCAUGUGGUUGUAAAGUUCUCUCCUAGUGAGGACGGAAGUUCAGUCACAUGCGCGUUGUCGAGUUGGAGAGCUGCGUAAUGGAGAUCGUGGGAACGGACAGUAAUUUCCUGAACUGCGUACGGGAAAUGUCAUGAGGACAUUUUUUUUUAUUAUUUUAUUUUCUUUUUUUUUUCUUUCUACUCUCUGAGGCCACCCAGGUUCAUCAUCUGAGCAGCAAUGAAGAGGCGCCCAGCAGGGUCCGUUUCCAGCUUUAGCACGCAGAGACUAUGAAUGAGGAAUGACCAAUGCAUCUUCUUUGCAUCAAUCUCCUAGUUCUUGUGCUUCUACCGUCGUCACUCUCCUGUGAGGGUAAAGCUGAACCGGCUGCAGUUCGAAACCAUUUCAUUGCAUUUGUGAAAACGGACAUGGACAAUAUUAGAGACGAGCUGCAAAACCUACCCUGCCGAGAACGGAAAUACAAAAUAGCAAACUGCACAACAGAGAACGCUGAUAUUGUGGAAACCUUGCUCCGUCAAGCCUGUGAAAUGCAGAGGCUAAACCUUCAGAACAUGACAAAGCUGGCCGAUACUGUCCAAACUUCGAUACGAUGCACUUGUCCUGCAAACGUGACAAAAGACCCCAGUGUGAGGUCACAGCGACGGAGGAUUCCAAGAAACACGGGGAAGAAGAUGAAAAAACGUUGCAAAGCUAAAGCAAUUCUGUCUUCCAUGACUGUAUGCUACCAGAGGCUGGACAUUCAGCAAACAGAUGCUCGAAACUAAGCUGAAGCACAGCAUGAAACCAAACAGGGAAAAAAAAACCAGCAACAAAAAAAAAACCAAUGUGCUGCCAGUUUGUCUGAACUGUGCUGUCGUUUCGGAUUAUGCAAGAAGACGCUUCCAGUUAAUUCAAGCUUUCCUGUAAAGUAUAUUUGUCUUGCGGCUGCUUUAGGUGUUGGACAACUGCUGACUCUUGAGAUCAGUUUCCAAGCUACACAGAAACAAGUCAUUUAGCAGAAGGAAGCAGACUGGACUCUCCCACGCUACAUGGAUGAGCUGUGUGCUGUACAGAUCUACUGCUACAAAGAGGAAUUCACUUAAGACAAAAACUAAAGGCCUUCAGAAUGCAUAUAGCUAGUGUUUGAAGGGGCGAUUAGUGAAGAAUCUACUUCCAGAGACUAAGUUAAAUAUAUAUACAUGUAUAUAUUUGUGUAAAAAAAAAGAAAUGCUCUGGUUUUUACUCGUUCUCAGAAAUGGCUCCUGAAGUACAAACUGGAAAUGUUAUGGUGCUCAAAUGCAGUUUUGCUUUCACUUCGGAAAAAGAAUGACCCGACUAGUCCAGACAUAUUUUUGUUAUCUUGGUUAUCUGAAGCCGGUUGUUUUAGGCUGUGUGUCAAGUCAUCAUUGCCGUCUUUGGUGACAAUGUAUUCAUUAGUCGCUCGGAAUGAUUGAUAUAUUAAAAGCAUAUUCUGACACAGAUGGCUGAGCUCGGUUCACAGGCCUCAUUACUUAUGUGGGAGACAUCGAAGAUGCCUUUCCCACCGCUUUUGGUCGAUGUUGUGAUUAAAGAUACUUUUAUCAUACAAAAAAAAAAAAGAAAAAGAGCCAGCUAUGCUCAACGACCAGACUUGUAACAAAAAAAAAAAAGUUGAAACACGCAGCCUUUGUUCCUUCUCUCUCCUACUUUCAGUGCUGCUGAUUUCGGCCUUGUGCUUAAAAGGCCUGUUUUUAAGCAAGUGAAGUAUAUGUGUUAUGUAUGACAUUGCAUGGGUUUCCCCAUCUAUAUUUAUAAUUAAAGAAAUUACUUUGCA